rnacentral:rRNA from 1 species
GACGAACGCUGGCGGCGUGCCUAAUACAUGCAAGUCGAACGCAUUUUCUUUCACCGUAGCUUGCUACACCGAAAGAAACUGAGUGGCGAACGGGUGAGUAACACGUGGGUAACCUGCCCAUCAGCGGGGGAUAACACUUGGAAACAGGUGCUAAUACCGCAUAAUUCCAUUUACCGCAUGGUAAAUGGAUGAAAGGCGCUUUUGCGUCACUGAUGGAUGGACCCGCGGUGCAUUAGCUAGUUGGUGGGGUAACGGCCUACCAAGGCUGCGAUGCAUAGCCGAACGGAGAGGGUGGUCAGCCACACUGGGACUGUGACACGGCACAGACUCCUUCGGGAGGCAGCAGUAGGGAAACGUCGGCCAUGGACGCAAGUCUGACCGAGCAACGCCGCAGGAGUGAAGAAGGUUUUCGGAUCGUAGAACUCUGUUGUUAGGGAAGAACAAGGAUGAGAGUGGAAAGUUCAUCCCUUGACGGUAUCUAACCAGAAAGCCACGGCUAACUACGUG